rnacentral:tRNA from 1 species
GCCUGGGUGGCUCAGUCGGUUGAGUGUCCGACUUCAGCUCAGGUCAUGAUCCUCUGGUCUGUGAGUUCGAUCCCUGCCUCGGGCU